rnacentral:rRNA from 1 species
CCAAGCCUAAGUCCCCUGGAAAGGGGCAUCAUAGAGGGUGAUAAUCCCGUACAUGGCUUGGAGCGCCCGAGGCUUUGUGAUACGCUUUCUAAGAGUCGAGUUGUUUGGGAAUGCAGCUCAAAAUGGGUGGUAAAUGCCAUCUAAGGCUAAAUAUUGGGGAGAGACCGAUAGCGAACAAGUACAGUGAUGGAAAGAUGAAAAGAACUUUGAAAAGAGAGUUAAACAGUACGUGAAAUUGCCAAAAGGGAAGGGUAGGAGGUCAGAGAUGCGGCCUGGGAUUCAGCCUUGCUUUUGCUUGGUGUUUUUCCCAGAUUGCAGGCCAACGUCGGUUUUGGGCACUGGAGAAGGGUAGGAGGAACGUGGCACCCCUCGGGGUGUGUUAUAGCCUCCUACUGGAUACAGCGACCGAGACCGAGGACAGCAGCGUACUCGCAAGAGCGGGCCUUCGGGCACCUUUACGCUUAGGGCGUUGGCAUAAUGGCCCUCUACCACCCGUCUUG